rnacentral:rRNA from 1 species
AGUGAACGCUGGCGGUAGGCCUAACACAUGCAAGUCGAACGGCAGCACAGUAAGAGCUUGCUCUUACGGGUGGCGAGUGGCGGACGGGUGAGGAAUACAUCGGAAUCUACUUUUUCGUGGGGGAUAACGUAGGGAAACUUACGCUAAUACCGCAUACGACCUACGGGUGAAAGCAGGGGAUCUUCGGACCUUGCGCGAUUGAAUGAGCCGAUGUCGGAUUAGCUAGUUGGCGGGGUAAAGGCCCACCAAGGCGACGAUCCGUAGCUGGUCUGAGAGGAUGAUCGGCCACACUAGAACUGAGACACGGUCCAGACUCCUACGGGAGGCAGCAGUGGGGAAUAUUGGACGAUGGGCGCAAGCCUGAUCCAGCCAUACCGCGUGGGUGAAGAAGGCCUUCGGGUUGUAAAGCCCUUUUGUUGGGAAAGAAAAGAAGCAGGUUAAUACCCCGCUGUUCUGACGGUACCCAAAGAAUAAGCACCGGCUAACUUCGUG